GAUGAACGCUGGCGGCGUGCCUAAUACAUGCAAGUCGAACGCUGAAGGAGGAGCUUGCUCUUCUGGAUGAGUUGCGAACGGGUGAGUAACGCGUAGGUAACCUGCCUGGUAGCGGGGGAUAACUAUUGGAAACGAUAGCUAAUACCGCAUGACAACAGUUAUUGCAUGAUAACUGUUUAAAAGGGGCAACUGCUCCACUACCAGAUGGACCUGCGUUGUAUUAGCUAGUUGGUGAGGUAACGGCUCACCAAGGCGACGAUACAUAGCCGACCUGAGAGGGGGAUCGGCCACACUGGGACUGAGACACGGCCCAGACUCCUACGGGAGGCAGCAGUAGGGAAUCUUCGGCAAUGGACGGAAGUCUGACCGAGCAACGCCGCGUGAGUGAAGAAGGUUUUCGGAUCGUAAAGCUCUGUUGUAAGAGAAGAACGAGUGUGAGAGUGGAAAGUUCACACUGUGACGGUAUCUGACCAGAAAGGGACGGCUAACUACGUG
rnacentral:rRNA from 1 species